UGGAGACGACAUUGAGAGUUG
rnacentral:piRNA from 1 species